rnacentral:rRNA from 1 species
UACGUAGGGGGCAAGCGUUGUCCGGAAUCAUUGGGCGUAAAGAGCGUGUAGGCGGCCCGGUAAGUCCGCUGUGAAAGUCCAGGGCUCAACCCUGGAAUGCCGGUGGAAACUGUCGGGCUAGAGUCCGGAAGAGGCGAGUGGAAUUCCCGGUGUAGCGGUGAAAUGCGCAGAUAUCGGGAGGAACACCAAUGGCGAAGGCAGCUCGCUGGGACGGUACUGACGCUGAGACGCGAAAGCGUGGGGAGCAAACAGG